rnacentral:misc_RNA from 1 species
UUUCCGUAGGUGAACCUGCGGAAGGAUCAUUACAGAGUUCAUGCCCUACCGGGUAGAUCUCCCACCCUAUGUUAUUAUUACUUUGUUGCUUUGGCGGGCCGUUAGGCUCCGGCCCGACUACCGGCCCCGGCUGGUAAGCGCCCGCCAGAGGACCCAAAACCCUGAAUAUUAGUGUCGUCUGAGUACUAUAUAGUAGUUAAAACUUUCAACAACGGAUCUCUUGGUUCUG